UAAAAGGAGUACUGGAGAGUAAAAGUAGUAAAAUCAAAACAUUUAUUUUUGGUUCUGCAGAAGCCAGAGAUCAGCCCAGAGAAAAUGGCUGGCAUGCUGAUUUCAUAUAAAGCAGUGGUUUUUAUAUUCCUACUCACUUUUUUAUUGCCCCAGAGUUUCUCAUUGAGUUCUUCAUGGAGGUACAAUCACUCGGUAUCUAGCAUGGUCUCCUCUCCAAGUUGCUUGUUCUGUCAGUUCAGAACGCAAAGCCUUAUCUAGUGUAUUUCCUGUGCGUCAAGUUUCCUCCUUUUCUGAUAUGUGGUCACAGUCAUGUAACACACUGCCUGAGACAUUUAAACACGCAGAUGAACUGAGAGAAUCCAGACAAGCAGAUGCCAACUGCCAGCUUUAGAAGGCAGCCGAGGGAAGAGAAGAUACUACAUACCAUGGAUAUAUAGGAGCAUGUGCUGCUCUUGCAGAGACUCUGAGGUCUCCAGUCACAUUGGCUUUAGGACCAUCCAUAACAACAUCUGUGGAAACUAUCUUCUGCUUAAAUCACUUCGGGGGCCAGCAAGAUGGCUAAGCAGGUGAAGGAACCAAUUCUGAUGGUCUGAAUUCUAUCCUUGAGACUCCUAUGAAAGCAAGCCGGAAGACACUAGCCCAGCUAUCACACUGAUGACACAGUGCUGGUCUGACCACCAAGACUUACCGUAGAACCAGG
rnacentral:sRNA from 1 species